UUAGAUACCCUAUUAUACUAAUAAAAGCUCAGAUUAUAACAGUUAUGUUCUUGAAAUUUAAAGAAUUUGGCGGUAAUUUAGUCUUGUUAGAGGAACCUGUUUUUAAAUCGAUACUCCACGUAAAAUCUUACUUACUUUAAUUAGUUUAUAUACCGUCAUUAUCAGAUAAUUUUAAAAAAAUUAAUUAUUAAACUUUAAGUAUAAAUAAGUUAAAUUAGAUCCAGGUGUAGCUUAUAAGUAAGUUAAAAUGGGUUACAAUAAAUUUUAUUUAAUACGGAGUAAUUAUAGGAAGAGUUAAUAAUGAAGGAGGAUUUAAUUGUAAUGAGAGUUUAAUAAGCUUAAAAGAUAUAAGCUCUAAAUUAUGUACAUAUCGCCCGUCGCUA
rnacentral:rRNA from 1 species